CAAGGCCGGAUGGAAUUUGGGUGAGUAACACGUGGGAGCAUACCCUCAGGUUCGGAACAACGCCGGGAAACUGGCGCUAAUACCGGAUACGCCCUGUGAAGGGGAAAGGCUUGCUGCCUGAGGAGUGGCCCGCGUUCGAUUAGCUAGAUGGCGGGGUAACGGCCCACCAUGGCGACGAUCGAUAGCUGGUCUGAGAGGAUGGCCAGCCACAUUGGGACUGAGACACGGCCCAAACUCCUACGGGAGGCAGCAGUGGGGAAUAUUGGACAAUGGGCGAAAGCCUGAUCCAGCAAUGCCGCGUGAGUGAUGAAGGCCCUAGGGUUGUAAAGCUCUUUUACCCGGGAUGAUAAUGACAGUACCGGGAGAAUAAGCUCCGGCUAACUCCGUGCCAGCAGCCGCGGUAAU
rnacentral:rRNA from 1 species